GACGAACGCUGGCGGCGUGCCUAAUACAUGCAAGUCGAGCGGACUGACUGGGAGCUUGCUCUUGUUCGGUCAGCGGCGGACGGGUGAGUAACACGUGGGCAACCUGCCCGCAAGACCGGGAUAACUCCGGGAAACCGGAGCUAAUACCGGAUAACACCGAAGACCGCAUGGUCUUUGGUUGAAAGGCGGCGCACGCUGCCACUUGCGGAUGGGCCCGCGGCGCAUUAGCUAGUUGGUGAGGUAACGGCUCACCAAGGCGACGAUGCGUAGCCGGCCUGAGAGGGUGACCGGCCACACUGGGACUGAGACACGGCCCAGACUCCUACGGGAGGCAGCAGUAGGGAAUCUUCCGCAAUGGGCGAAAGCCUGACGGAGCGACGCCGCGUGAGCGAAGAAGGCCUUCGGGUCGUAAAGCUCUGUUGUGAGGGACGAAGGAGCGCCGUUUGAAGAAGGCGGCGCGGUGACGGUACCUCACGAGGAAGCCCCGGCUAACUACGUG
rnacentral:rRNA from 1 species